CCUACGGGUGGCUGCAGUGAGGAAUUUUCCGCAAUGGGCGAAAGCCUGACGGAGCAAUGCCGCGUGAGGGAACGAAGGCCUAUGGGUUGUAAACCUCUUUUCUCAGAGAAGAAGAAGGUGACGGUAUCUGAGGAAUAAGCAUCGGCUAACUCCGUGCCAGCAGCCGCGGUAAUACGGGGGAUGCAAGCGUUGUCCGGAAUGAUUGGGCGUAAAGGGUCCGUAGGUGGUUGGCAAAGUCCACCGUUCAAUACCAGGGCUUAACCCUGGGUCAGCGU
rnacentral:rRNA from 1 species